rnacentral:rRNA from 1 species
UACGUAGGUGGCGAGCGUUGUCCGGAUUUAUUGGGCGUAAAGCGCGCGCAGGCGGUGCGGUAAGUCUGUCGUGAAAUCUCCCGGCUCAACUGGGAGGGUGCGGUGGAGACUGCCGGACUGGAGGCACUCAGAGGCCGGUGGAAUUCCCGGUGUAGUGGUGAAAUGCGUAGAGAUCGGGAGGAACACCGGUGGCGAAGGCGGCCGGCUGGGGGUGACCUGACGCUGAGGCGCGAAAGCGUGGGGAGCGAACCGG